CUACAGAAAAUGGCUGAGCGGCGAACGGGUGAGUAACGCGUGAGCAAUCUACCUUAGUUACUGGGAUAGCCCGAGGAAACUCGGAUUAAUACCGGAUAUUCUUAUUUUUUCACAUGAAGUUUUAAGGAAAGGUCAGCCGAACUAAGAUGAGCUCGCGUUCUAUCAGCUAGUUGGUGGGGUAAAAGCCUACCAAGGCUACGACGGAUAGCUGGUCUGAGAGGACGAUCAGCCACACUGGGACUGAGACACGGCCCAGACUCCUACGGGAGGCCGCAGCAGGGAAUAUUGCGCAAUGAGCGAAAGCUUGACGCAGCGACACCGCGUGUGGGAUGACGGUUCUAGGAUUGUAAACCACUUUCAGGAGGGAAGAAAGUGACGGUACCUCCACAAGAAGACCCGGCCAACUACGUGCUAGCAGCCGCGGUAAUACGUAGGGGUCAAGCGUUGUCCGGAUUCAUUGGGCGUAAAGAGCUCGUAGGCGGUCCAACAAGUCGGUCGUAAAAGUUUAGGGCUCAACCCUAAAAUGUCGAUCGAUACUGUUGUGACUAGGAUACGGUAGAGGUGAAUGGAAUUCCGAGUGUAGCGGUGAAAUGCGUAGAUAUUCGGAGAAACACCAAUUGCGAAGGCAGUUCACUGGACCGUGAUCGACGCUGAGGAGCGAAAGCUAGGGGAGCAAACAGGAUUAGAUACCCUGGUAGUCCUAGCUGUAAACGAUGGAUACUAGAUGUAGGAACUGGAUUGACGGUUUCUGUAUCGUAGCUAACGCGUUAAGUAUCCCGCCUGGGGAGUACGGUCGCAAGACUAAAACUCAAAGGAAUUGACGGGACCCCGCACAAGCGGCGGAGCAUGCGGCUUAAUUCGAUGAUACCCGUAGAACCUUACCUGGACUUGACAUAUAGGGAAAAGCUAAAGAAAUUUAGUGUGCGUAAGCGCCCUAUACAGGUGGUGCAUGGCUGUCGUCAGCUCGUGUCGUGAG
rnacentral:rRNA from 1 species